CACACACACACACACACAGAUGUUUGCUCUAUAACAGCAACACAUAUCAGAACUUAAAAAAAAAGGUUACUUAGUAAUAUAAUCGACUGGUUGGCCCGCAUUCGAAUUUUCCCAUUAUUCUCACAAUAUGCCUGGUUGUCAAACCGAUUUAAUAAAGAACCAGGUUCCACGUCUGUCAGGCGAGUGGAUCCCGAACCCGACCCAUCCUCGGCUCCCGCCUGGAGCAGAACUUCCCGCCGGGAGCAGAACUUCCCGCCUCAGUACCGUAAGGUCUCGUGGGAAACGCAGUCUCGGCUUCCAAUGACGUCACCAGCACACGACGGUGGGAAGGGCCUUUUGGAUUCCUUUGCGCAUGCGCCGCCCCGCCCACUUCCGCCAUCUUCAGCCUGAGAAUCCCGCUGUUGCUGGCGUUGAGAGGCUGCUGUGGAGGCUCUGGGCUAUGCUUCCAGAGUACUUUGUGCAUUUCCAAGAUCAACAAUGAAUAAGUCUCUGUUGACGUUGAACUGUGUCUCUGCUAAUUCAUCUCCCGUAUUGUUCCAGG